rnacentral:tRNA from 1 species
GAGGGUAUAGGUCUGUGGUAGACAGCAUGCUUAGCAUGCACGAGGUCCUGGGUUCAAUCCCCAGUAUCUCCA